CUACCAAGACAGUGACGGUUGACGGGGGAUGAGAGUCCGAUUCCGGAGAGGGAGCCUGAGAAACAGCUCCCACGUCUAAGGAUGGCAGCAGGCGCGAAACUUACCCAAUCCCCGAGAGGGGGAGGUAGUGAAGAGACAUGAGGUUCGCCUACAGACCGCACGGUAAAGGAGUGCGGGACCGACUGGAGGGCAAGUCUGGUGCCAGCAGCCGCGGUAAUUCCAGCUCCAGUAGCGCAUAUAUUUGUUGCUGCAGUUAAAACGUCCGUAGUUGGCCCAAGCGCAGCGCGCAGUACUGUGAGGAAAACACGGUGCUCAAGGCAGAGUGGAGAGCAUGGGACACGGGGGAGACAGGAACAGAUGAUGGCAAUAGUAUUCGGCAGCUAGAGGUGAAAAUCGAUGACCUGCCGAGGACUCUCAGAAGCGAAGGCGAUUGCCAAGGAUGUAUCCGUUAAUAAAGGACUUAAGCCGGAGGAUCGAAGAUGAUUAGAUACCGUCGUAGUUCCAGCAGUAAAAGAUGCC
rnacentral:rRNA from 1 species